rnacentral:lncRNA from 1 species
CUGCCAAUUCUUUCUUCAUGUAUUUGCAGGGAACUCAUCAAAUCGUUAAAAAUAUAUUUAGACAAAUCUUUUGAUUCUUCAAUAGCGGCGACAAUAUAAUCAUAUUUCGCGGGAAGGCUUCGAAGGACCUUUUGAACAACUUUUUUUCUUCAAUUGUGUCGCCAAGGCUUCUGAUUUGAUUUACUAUUUUAGAGACUCGAGUUAGAUAGAAUUGCAUAACUUCAUUAUCUUUUUUUGAUAAAUUGUCGAACUCCCUCUAAAGAGAUUGAAGCUUUAGAGAGUCACAUUGUCAUUGCCAUGAAAUCCCUCAUUUAAGAUAUUCCAAGCUUGCUUGGCUCUUUUGACACUGUGAAUUCGAGGAUAUAUGGUCUUGGUUAAUCCUUGUUGUAUAAAUCUAAGAGCACUUGCAUCUCUCCGUAAAUUUUCCUUGUAAUCUUUUUGUUGAGCCUACGUCCAUUCUUCUUCUUCUUCUUCAUUAUCAUCAGGUUCCGGAAAUCCAUCUUCAACAACUUCCCAUAAAUCUUGUGAAAUGAAGAGUGUCUCCAUUUGACUACUCCAAUAAUCAAAAUGCUCUCCUUCAAAUAUGGGAACUUGGUUAGGAGUAUAGGAAAACAUGGAUGUAGAAACAUGAUUUGCUGCCAUGCUUUGGAGAGGGGAAAUAAAAUUUGAGAUACGUAUAGAGAACCUGGCUCUAAUACCAAAAAUUUGUUGGGGAUUGAUUAAAACCGAAUGAAAAAGAAGCAAUAUUGAAUGCUUGAAAUUAUACGUAAUAUAGUGUUGCUGCUUGAAAUUAUACGUAAUAUAGUGUUGCUGCACUUUUUUAUGAUUGUAGAAGAGAAGAUAUUAUAUUGUAAAUUUUUGUGACUUCGAUACUUUUAAUGACUUGAGUUACA